rnacentral:rRNA from 1 species
UGACCCCAGGUCAGGYGGGAUUA